rnacentral:rRNA from 1 species
GACGAACGCUGGCGGCGUGCUUAACACAUGCAAGUCGAACGGUAAGGCCCUUCGGGGUACACGAGUGACGAACGGGUGAGUAACACGUGGGUGAUCUGCCCUGCACUUCGGGAUAAGCCUGGGAAACUGGGUCUAAUACCGGAUAGGACUCCGGACUGCAUGGUCUGGGGUGGAAAGCUUUUGCGGUGUGGGAUGGGCCCGCGGCCUAUCCGCUUGUUGGUGGGGUGAUGGCCUACCAAGGCGAGGACGGGUAGCCGGCCUGAGAGGGGGACCGGCCACACUGGGACUGAGAUACGGCCCAGACUCCUACGGGAGGCAGCAGUGGGGAAUAUUGCACAAUGGGCGCAAGCCUGAUGCAGCGACGCCGCGUGAGGGAUGACGGCCUUCGGGUUGUAAACCUCUUUCAGCAUCGACGAAGCGAAAGUGACGGUAGGUGCAGAAGAAGGACCGGCCAACUACGUGCCAGCAGCCGCGGUAA